rnacentral:rRNA from 1 species
AUUGAACGCUGGCGGCAGGCCUAACACAUGCAAGUCGAACGACUGGCGGACGGGUGAGUAAUGUCUGGGAAACUGCCUUAUGGAGGGGGAUAACUACUGGAAACGGUAGCUAAUACCUCAUACCCUCGGCUUUGCCCAGAUGGGAUUAUCUAGUAGGUGGGGUAAAGGCUCACCUAGGCGACGAUCCCUACCUGGUCUGAGAGGAGGACCACACAGACUGGAACUGGGACACGGUCCAGACUCCUACGGGAGGCAGCAGUGGGGAAUAUUGCACAAUGGGCGCAGGCCGGAUGCAGCCAUGCCGCGUGUAUGAAGAAGGCCUUCGGGUUGUAAAGUACUUUCAGAGGGGAGGCGUUACCCGCAGAAGAAGCACCGGCUAACUCCGUGCCAGCAGCCGCGGUAAUUC